rnacentral:rRNA from 1 species
AACAUCGCCUCCAGAUUCAAUAUUGGAGGUCCAUUCUGCCCUAUGAAAUUUUAAAUGGCCGCGGUACCCUGACCGUGCAAAGGUAGCAUAAUAAUUUGCCUCUUAAUUAGAGGCUGGAAUGAAUGAAUAUACGAGAGUCUAGCUGUUUCAUCUUUAUAAAUAAAAACUAAUCUUUAGGUGAAGAAGCCUAAAUUCCGUAAAAAGACAAAAAGACCCUAUUGAGCUUUACCAUUAAGAUUAACCCAAAUUAAAGAAAUUCUAUAUUAACUUAAUCUCCUGGUUUUGUUGGGGCGACAAAAGAAGACCUAAAUCUUCUUUUAUUAAAAGAAUAUUCUUCAAAUUUAAUGAUCCGUAUUUACGAUUAACAGAAACAGCUACCAUAGGGAUAACAGGCUAAUCUUCUUUGAGAGCCCAAAUUGACAAGAAGGAUUGGCACCUCGAUGUUGGCUUAGGGUACCUGAUAGAUGCAGAAGUCUUUCAAGUUGGUUUGUUCAACCUUUAAUACCCUACGUG